GAGCAAAUGAUGAAACAUUUUGUCAUCGUCUGAGAUUCUCUCCGUGAAGUCUCUGCAAAAUCGAGCUUUUUAAAACUGAUGCUCU
rnacentral:snoRNA from 1 species